CAGUCGCCGCGGUAAUACGUAGGUGGCAAGCGUUGUCCGGAAUUAUUGGGCGUAAAGGGCUCGCAGGCGGUUUCUUAAGUCUGAUGUGAAAGCCCCCGGCUCAACCGGGGAGGGUCAUUGGAAACUGGGAAACCUGAGUGCAGAAGAGGAAAGUGGAAUUCCACGUGUAGCGGUGAAAUGCGUAGAGAUGUGGAGGAACACCAGUGGCGAAGGCGACUCUCUGGUCUGUAACUGACGCUGAGGAGCGAAAGCGUGGGGAGCGAACAGGAUUAGAUACCCGUGUAGUCCCUGUCUCUUAUAA
rnacentral:rRNA from 1 species